rnacentral:rRNA from 1 species
AUUGAACGCUAGCGGGAUGCCUUACACAUGCAAGUCGAACGGAGUGGCGAACGGGUGCGUAAUGUAUUGGAACGUGCCCCGUAGCGGGGGAUAACUACGCGAAAGCGUAGCUAAUACCGCAUACUAUUGCCAUGGCCGAUACCGGAUGAGCUAGUUGGUGGGGUAACGGCUAAGCAAGGCGACGAUCCGUAGCUGGUUUGAGAGGACGACCAGCCACACUGGAACUGAGACACGGCCCAGACUCCUACGGGAGGCAGCAGUGGGGAAUUUGGGACAAUGGGGGAAAGCCUGAUGCAGCCAUGCCGCGUGUGUGAUGAAGGCCUUCGGGUUGUAAAGCACUUUUGGCGGGAAAGCGGUACCUGCAGAAGAAGCACCGGCUAACUACGUGCCAGCAGCCGCGGUAAUUC